rnacentral:rRNA from 1 species
GGAAACCGGGGCUAAUACCGGAUAACAUUUUGAACUGCAUGGUUCGAAAUUGAAAGGCGGCUUCGGCUGUCACUUAUGGAUGGACCCGCGUCGCAUUAGCUAGUUGGUGAGGUAACGGCUCACCAAGGCAACGAUGCGUAGCCGACCUGAGAGGGUGAUCGGCCACACUGGGACUGAGACACGGCCCAGACUCCUACGGGAGGCAGCAGUAGGGAAUCUUCCGCAAUGGACGAAAGUCUGACGGAGCAACGCCGCGUGAGUGAUGAAGGCUUUCGGGUCGUAAAACUCUGUUGUUAGGGAAGAACAAGUGCUAGUUGAAUAAGCUGGCACCUUGACGGUACCUAACCAGAAAGCCACGGCUAACUACGUGCCAGCAGCCGCGGUAAUACGUAGGUGGCAAGCGUUAUCCGGAAUUAUUGGGCGUAAAGCGCGCGCAGGUGGUUUCUUAAGUCUGAUGUGAAAGCCC